rnacentral:rRNA from 1 species
GCGCAGCAGUCGAGAAAACUUCACACUGUGCGAAAGCACGAUGAGGGAAUCCCAAGUGCUUGCACGUAAGUGUAAGCUGUUUCUCUGUCUAAAACGCAGAGAGAGUAAGGGCUGGGUAAGACGGGUGCCAGCCGCCGCGGUAAUACCUGCAGCUCAAGUGGUGACCGUUAUUAUUGGGCCUAAAACGUCCGUAGCCGGUUUAAUAAAUGCCUGGGUAAAUUGUGUAGCUUAACUAUACGAAUUCCGGGUAGACUGUUAAACUUGAGACCGGGAGAAGUUAGAGGUACUCCUGGGGUAGAGGUGAAAUUCUGUAAUCCUAGGGGGACCACCAGUGGCGAAGGCGUCUAACUAGAACGGGUCUGACGGUGAGGGACGAAGCCCUGGGGCGCAAACGGGAUUAGAUA